AACUAAGUUUGUUAUUGGUAUGAGCUUUUGUGUGCACGCACACUUCUUCAGAUAUGCACACUUUGUAUCUGAAGAAGUGUGCAUGCACACAAAAGCUCAUACCAAUAACAAACUUAGUUGG